rnacentral:rRNA from 1 species
AUUGAACGCUGGCGGCAGGCCUAACACAUGCAAGUCGAACGAGCGGCGGACGGGUGAGUAAUGUAUGGGAAUCUGCCCGAUAGAGGGGGAUAACUACUGGAAACGGUAGCUAAUACCGCAUACUAUCGGAUGUGCCCAUAUGGGAUUAGCUAGUAGGUGGGGUAAAGGCGCACCUAGGCGACGAUCCCUAGCUGGUCUGAGCGGAUGAUCAGCCACACUGGUAUGGAGACACGGCCCAGACUCCUACGGGAGGCAGUAGUGGGGAAUAUUGAACAAUGGGCGCAAGCCUGAUGCAGCAAUGCCGCGUGUAUGAAGAAGGCCUUAGGGUUGUAAAGUACUUUCAGCGGGGAGGCGUUACCCGCAGAAGAAGCACCGGCUAACUCCGUGCCAGCCGCCGCGGUAAUAC